GAUGAAGAACGAAGCGAAAUGCGAUAAGUAAUGUGAAUUGCAGAAUUCAGUGAAUCAUCGAAUCUUUGAACGCACAUUGCGCCCAUUAGUAUUCUAGUGGGCAUGCCUGUUCGAGCGUCAUUAAGUCCACUUAAGCCCUGCUUAGUGUUGGGAGACUGCUCCAGCGGUGCUACCCUGUAGCUACCCUGCAGCUCCUCAAAGACAGCGGCGGAGUUGUGGUAUCCUCUGAGCUUAGUAACUUGUUCUAGCUUUCGAGUACACCACUUCCCCUGCCGUAAAACCCUUAAUUUUUAAUGGUUGACCUCGGAUCAGGCAGGAAUACCCGCUGAACUUAAGCAUAUCAAUAAGCGGAGGA
rnacentral:misc_RNA from 1 species